rnacentral:rRNA from 1 species
CAAUAGCGUAUAUUAACGUUGUUGCAGUUAAAAAGCUCGUAGUUGAAUUUCUGGCGGGCGCGCCGGUCUUCCAAGUGUUGUACUGGGCGCAGUCCGCCAUCCUUGUGGAGAGGGCUCGCAUUGAGUUGCGUGUCGGAUCUGCAUCAUUUACUGUGAAAAAAUUAGAGUGUUUAAAGCAGGCUGUCGCUUGAAUACAUUAGCAUGGAAUAAUAAGAUAGGACUUCGGUCUAUUUUGUUGGUUGCGAACCGAGGUAAUGAUUAAUAGGGAUAGUUGGGGGUAUUCAUAUUUAAUUGUCAGAGGUGAAAUUCUUGGAUUUAUGAAAGAUGAACAACUGCGAAAGCAUUUACCAAGGAUGUUUUCAUUAA